rnacentral:lncRNA from 1 species
UUUCUAGCUGUGCUUUGUAGCAGCCCGUGACUGUAACAGUGGCAUACUGAGAACAACAUGUGGCUGUGAAACCUGUGGAAUUGUAAACAUGUAAACAGUUUGCUACUUUCUCUGAGGGCCUAAGCGCUGAUGAAAGCAGGUGCCUUGGUACGCCUCUCAUUGAAUUAGGAAUUCCACAGCGUAAAGUGGCAGCAUUGUUGAUGAAAGGAUCACGCUGUGCAUCUUCCCAUCUUUUCUUCUUGUGCCUACCUCCAAACCUUUGUGGCAUAUCACAGAUGUGACUGCUGGACACUUUCCCUUUGAGGUGUA